UGGUAGUGGUGUGGACAACAUCUCAAUAAGUCCUUGUACCUCUCCCAGGCAUCAUACAUGCUCUUAUCGUCCAUAUGCACAAAAGAAGAAAUAUAAUUUCUUUAUUU
rnacentral:snoRNA from 1 species